rnacentral:rRNA from 1 species
UACGUAGGGGGCAAGCGUUGUCCGGAAUCAUUGGGCGUAAAGAGCUCGUAGGCGGUUUGUUGCGUCGGCUGUGAAAUCCCGAGGCUCAACCUCGGGUCUGCAGUCGAUACGAGCAAACUAGAGUGUUGCAGGGGAGACUGGAAUUCCUGGUGUAGCGGUGAAAUGCGCAGAUAUCAGGAGGAACACCGGUGGCGAAGGCGGGUCUCUGGGGCAACAACUGACGC